AGAGUUUGAUCCUGGCUCAGAACGAACGCUGGCGGCAGGCCUAACACAUGCAAGUCGAGCGCUCACUUCGGUGGGAGCGGCGGACGGGUUAGUAACGCGUGGGAAUAUACCCAGUUCUAAGGAAUAGCCUCGGGAAACUGAGAGUAAUACCUUAUACGCCCUUCGGGGGAAAGAUUUAUCGGAAUUGGAUUAGCCCGCGUUAGAUUAGAUAGUUGGUGGGGUAAUGGCCUACCAAGUCGACGAUCUAUAGCUGGUUUGAGAGGAUGAUCAGCAACACUGGGACUGAGACACGGCCCAGACUCCUACGGGAGGCAGCAGUGGGGAAUCUUAGACAAUGGGCGCAAGCCUGAUCUAGCCAUGCCGCGUGAGUGAUGAAGGCCUUAGGGUCGUAAAGCUCUUUCGCCAGGGAUGAUAAUGACAGUACCUGGUAAGA
rnacentral:rRNA from 1 species